GUUGAUCAUUUCAAUUCACUUCGUUGGUGUGUGGUGUGGUUCGUUUUGGAGCUUUACUUUAUUCUUCGCAGAAAUGAUUUUCGAAGCACGAUGAAUCUAAUAUCCGAUGACGUAGGAUGAAGAUGAGGUAAAAAAAAAAACAACUAAAGUACCUCCUAUAUGGUUGUCGUUUACAUCAAUGGAAGCAGCAAUAUUAUGUAGUUACUUCGAUGAUGACGAUGGUCAAACCCAGCUAUAGCUAAAUUAUCUAACAUUUAUUGGCGACGCAAAAUCGAAACUUUCAAAUUUAUCGAUGAUAAAACAUUACAAAUAUACCAUCUACAGUCGCACAACUAUAAUGCAUGAGGUUAGAAACAUGUCAAGCCAUUCAAGGAAUUAAAAUGAUAACUUGGAUUCCUGCCUGCAAAAAUACUCUCAACUCGUAUUUUUCAACAUCUACAGCGAAGGAGUACAAUGGAUGUUCUAUCAUUGAGUAAAAAAAAUCUUUACUGUGUCCAUCGGUAGCCAUCACAAUAGCGAAUAGGUACCCAAAAUGCCAAAAUCUUUAAAUUGGAGACUCAUUGACCUAUACGGAUUUUGCUACAUCGAUGUUCAUCAAAAUACGCAAAUUCAUCAUUUUUCGAUACAUGGCGAAGAUGAAGCACUAGAUUUCUAAACACUAACGAGGACAAUAAUCUUAAGAAAGCAGCCGUCCUGAAAUGUUUUACAUCUAUAAAAACGCAGCUUUACCUAUACAAUCCGCAGAAAAAGAUGGAUUCCUAGGAAUGUGGAAGCCAAUGAUUAUUCUUGUUUUCGAAUUUGUUCCAAUCCCUCAUCAUUUUCACCGUCAUUUUCGAGCUUCUCGCAAAAGAAAAGAAUGUUUCGAACGAAUCGUCGAUAGCAAUGAACACCUACAGCCUAUACUUGAAUGCGGCGCGAAUAACGUGAUCUCCCAUGAAUAGUCCAGGCCGAGUUAUUUUGCUUUUCCUUCUUUUGUCACGUUCGCGUUCAAAUAAUUCAAUUUUUAUGAAUCAUGUUCAAAUUCAUAGAGAAGUUAACGCUGAUCAAGACGUGAUAAAUCGUACAAAAAUGCCCGACGAAUUAAAAAAGGAAUUACCAAGAACUACAGAUAUGUACUAUAAUCUAAAUUUUGAUCGGUAUAAUACAUACAUGAACAUAUUAGGAAUCCUGUGACCACCUAUCUUAAUGACGAAAAUCUCCUACUCAAUGAAUCAAUCGUCUGUUGCUUUCGUCGAUCCAUUAAAAUGUACUCGUAUAUAAUUUACUACGCUAAUCAAUUUCGGGUCGAACUCUGCAGCAUCUGUAUAGCAAGAAAGCAACAUUUAAUGAAUCCCAAGAAGGUGCAGCCACUGUUUAAGCAACGAUCUACAGAUAUAUUAUGGGUGAAUUUGAUAAGAUUUCGAUCCAUUUCGAAUAUAUAUUUUCCGGUUCUCCUUGAAUAUCAAUCGUGUAUAAAAGGAGACAUGGAUGAAGCGAUAACUACAGAAACAAAAAAAAAAGCUACUCGUAACAGUAAAUUCAAGAUGGAGGAAAGGAAAUGAAUAAUGUUUUCCAAAAUUCCAAAAAAAUUAACGUCCCUCAACCACCUAAAUUAAUUCUACAGUUAGGGCGAGAUUUCACCUUAAUCGCGUGUACACAAGCCGAAAAAAAUGCAAUCACUACAGAAUAAAAUAGAAGCUUUUUGUAAUUGUUAUUUCGGGAACACGAAGAGAAACUGUACAACCGUGGCCAAAAAACACAUCGAAACCUAACGUACCCAUCAACUAAAUGAAGCUUUUUGUAAUUGUUAUUUCGAGAAAAGCCAAGAAAAACUGUACAGCCGUGACCAUCAAUGGCGAUCAAUCAAUUAAUAGGCUGUUAUAACGAACAUCGAGGACCAUUCAUGGAGAAACUAGGAAACCCUGAAGAAAUGAAUUUCCUCGGACUGCAUUACCAAAUAGACCAUUGUAUGGAGGUGAAACUACGCGAUUGGGUUUAUCUACCAUAUUUCAAUGGACAAUUUUGAACAGAAGAUCUGAUAGGUAGAAUAAGUAAUUGUUGAUAUUUGUUCAUUACCUACCAUCCUAAAUGGAUUUACAGCUAGGAAGUCAUCGUUCAUUUUUCAAUAUGGUUGAGAAAACCUUCAAAUGAAGCACCGAUUACCGUUGAAAAAUUUAAAGUACUGCAUCGAAGAUUUUUCAAAGAAUGUCUUCACUGAUUUCCAUCUACAUUAUUCGCAUCGCUCUGCAGAGUCGAAGAAAAUUUCUAUUAUUGAUACGAGUAUUGUUGUUGUUGUUACGAUCUUUCCAUAUCUGCGCCUACUAUCGAGAUGAUCACGGUAGCCACUGGAUAUCUAACAAGUUUCAUGAGCACGAUCGUUUUACUCUAUCUCCAGCUUCCAAUAAGUAAACCUACAGAAUUAGCAGGUUGACAGAGACACUACGCUUCCAAAUUUUUGAAUGAAAUAUCCAAGAACUAUAAUAUAUUUAAUUUACGAAAUGCAGGGAAGACAAUUUUUAAACCAUUAUUGCCAGAAAGGGACGAAAUGGUUUUAAUUUUAUUGCUUUUUCUUCAACUAGAGACAAGAUUCACGACCAUACGAGUACAAUAAUCUCAUCACGUAAUUUGAACGAGUCCGCAACUUCGCCCAAGUGCAAUGUCAUCUUCGUCUGCCAGCCUGAACAAUGCCAAGGAAUCCAAUCUCGUUCUCAAUCCUAACAUUGUAGCCUAUAUAUUUCGGGAUUCACACUGGACGAAAUAACAUCUACAGAAAAGCAUAAUUCGAAAUUUUAUCGCAAAGAAUUAAUUAAAUGGUGUGCUUCGAAUCGACAAUUAAGUACCAGAAACUGAGUUGGCAACUACAGAAACAUGUAUCUGAAGAUUACACAAUGCAUUUAGAAAUGCAACAGUCUUCUAUGAUGAAUCCUUCAUUUUCUUGUACCCAGUCGUUUUCUUUUUUUCAUUUUGAUCGAAUCAUGAAGCAAAGCCAACUAAAUUUUACAUAGAACAUCAUCUGAACGAUUUAUGUAUCAAGUUUGAUUGCAUCCAAAUUUAAUGAUGCUCGAAAGAAGAAUCGCAACGGAAGACGAUUCAGCUAUAGCCUUUGAUAUGCCUGUACUGGAAUGAACGAUUCAUUAUUUCAUAGUAUAGGUACGCCAAAUUCUGCCAAGUUCGUAAUGACUGAGAAAAUUUCGCUUCGAUGUCAUCUACAGCCAAACGUAUGGAAUUAGUACUCGUGGUUGGAGUUUCAAUUAUCACUUGAUGACUCCCUGAUUAAAUAAAUCGAUGUCUUGGAGCAAUUCUGACGAAGAAGAAUGCAGCUCUGAUUACUAACCCAAUGAGCCAGUAAUGAUUGUGGAUCGAAUUAUUGAAUAUCUAAAGUCAAUUGGUGGUUCGGAUAAUGAUCAAAACAAUCAUAUCUCAUCAUCAGCUUUCCACUCCCCCAAUACAAAAAUGUAUAUUCUUGUCUUGUAAUCUUGUCUAUCACUGAGCUGCGGUGAGCCAAGCCAAGAUGUUGUAGUUAUAUUCUUCCGAAGGACUGCUGGGAAUCCCAGAUGAAGAUGCGAAAUUUAAAUGUGACGCGAAGGAAAAAAGAUCUUUUGCCCUCAUCAACUACAGAGAUUACGCAACGUACAAUUCAUGAUAGGAAGUAACAGAAACAUUUAUAGAUACGAAUUCCCUUGUUACGUUCCUUAUACUUUUUUGUUUUUAUGCGGCUCACGGUGAAUUGAAAAGCUACUGGAAGCGUGCUUUUUAUUUCUCCGAUGUGUUAGAUUCAAUUAAUUCGAACGAUUUCCAAAUGAGUCACAUAUAUAGUUACCUACAUGCUGAGAUUAUAAUCAAUAAUUUUUAGUUGAUUUUUUCUUUUUUCUCCUUCAAAUUUGUUGUUACCAAAUACCUAUUGUCCUGUUCUCUCGUAAGCUAGCUUUCUCUAGUAUACCACCUAUAGUGAUACAUUUUGAGAAGAUAUACCUAUAGAUUAAAAUUUUUCAUUUUUCUUGAUGCCCAGUUUUGUAAACCAGGAUAAAAAUUGAGUAGGUAUAUCUAUAAAUACUGGAUAAUCAAGAAAUUGCAUGGUAUUGUUGUUACAAUGAUCAACUAGAGUGUUAUAAAAGUAUUGUGAUGCAAUCAACUUUUAAAUUUUUUUAAUAAUUUAUUUUCAUUUUCUACUGUUUUUCACAAAUAAAUAAGACUGAAAUUUUA